rnacentral:rRNA from 1 species
UACGGAGGGAGCUAGCGUUGUUCGGAAUUACUGGGCGUAAAGCGUGCGUAGGCGGUUACUCAAGUCAGAGGUGAAAGCCCGGGGCUCAACCCCGGAACUGCCUUUGAAACUAGGUAGCUAGAAUCUUGGAGAGGUCAGUGGAAUUCCGAGUGUAGAGGUGAAAUUCGUAGAUAUUCGGAAGAACACCAGUGGCGAAGGCGACUGACUGGACAAGUAUUGACGCUGAGGCACGAAAGCGUGGGGAGCAAACAGG